GCACCCGGCUGUGUAUUUCAGGAAGCUCCCUGUAACCAGGAGGAAGCAGAACCCACAUAGAGAAGGCAGACGACCAUCCCUGGGUAAUCCCCAGAUAAUGAGGCUACAGAUUGGAAAUGGGGAAAGCUUCAGGAGUAGCCUGACCCACGGGGCAUUCCACGUGGGGACUGGAGGGCACCUAGGAGAAAGAUGCGGGACAGGAGAUACGAGAAAGGACACUAACACAGGCUGGCCUCUCGCUCCUUCCAGAAGUCAGGAAGCCACCCUGGAGAGACAGCACCAUGCUUAAGGAGCUUAAGGAGAUCUGGAUCGAGAAACUAAGUAUUUGUGAUACCAUGCAUGGUAGGCUGCAUGUAAUUAAGUUUGGGAAUUCAGAGAAAGAGGAUCCCAGAGCAAACUGAAUUGCAAAACAACCACCUCAGCAAGCUCUGAGGUUGAUUUAGGACUGUCUGCUCAUCUGAAUAAGAAAGCCCUGCAUAGGAUGAUGUAUUUGAAUGUUUGGUCCUCGUAGAAUGAACAGUUUUGGAAAGAUAGUAGAUAUGGCCUUAUUGGAUAAGGUAUGUUACUGAGGGUGGGCUUUGGGGUUUCAAAAACGUGCACCAUUUCCAGCAAGUGCUCUCUCUGCCUUGUGUCUAUGGAUCAAAGUCAAGCUUUCAAUGACUGCCCAGCUUCAUACUUGCCCGCCUGCUGCCAUGCUGCCUGCCAUGAUGAUCAUGGACUCUAACCCUCUGGAAACUUUUUUUUUUUUGGUUUUUUCGAGACAGGGUUUCUCUGUAUUGUUUUGGAGGCUGUCCUGGAACUAGCUCUGUAGACCAGGCUGGCCUCGAACUCACAGAGAUCCGCCUGCCUCUGCCUCCCGAGUGCUAGCAUUAAAGGCAUGCGCCACCAACGCCCGGCUUCCCUCUGGAAACUUAAUACCCAAAUUAAAUACAUUCUGUUAUA